rnacentral:lncRNA from 1 species
CCCAGACUUCAAUUUUGCUUUGAUCUGUAUUUCUGUAUUUGGUCACUAAAUUCUCCCAUCAGAAAAUCAAUCAAAUUUGUACUAUAAAUACAUGUAAAUGUCCAGUUUAAAGAAAUACUCACGCUUACUUUGGUUAAUACCAUGUAGUAGUCACUGUGGCCAGAUUUACAAAAUGUUGACACUUAAUACAUUUACCAACAGAAUCUCAUUGGUAGUCAAAGUUGUUAGGUACCACCCUCCCUGUUGAAGUCACAUUUUAUUGAUUUUAUGUCCAUUUUCAAGGGUUUAUCACAUGAUUAAAUGCUGCCUUAAAGUAGUCAGUUUUAGCAAUUAGGUUCCAUACAUGCUCUUGUACAAUACAAACUGGUCAAAAAAUCAAAAAAUCAAAAAGCGUACCAUGGUCAUUGUAUAAGGAAUAAACCAUCUUUUUUCAGACCUAUUAUUCAGAAAUGACAAAAAUAUCACAAGAUCAAUAUCAAGUGUACAUAAUUAUUUGUAAUAAUAUUCUGCUUGUAUUUUGCAUCUGUACAUAUAUAUACAAUUACAAUAAAUAGAGAAAUCACAUUUAAUGAGACAGAUAUCACAGAUAAAACAAGACAAAGUUCUUUUCAAGUCACUAUAAAUUCUUUCACUAUCGGAAAAAAACUUCCUAAAAAAUGUGCAUCCUAGUAACCUCGAUAAUUCAGUUGUUAUAUUUGGCUGCUCUAUGAUGAUAACAUUAACGCCUGUAAACCUAGUCCAUGAAAUCCUCAAUAAAUUAUUUGAAAUUAGCUCCGGAUUUACCAUUGUUAACAUUAAGCGGUCAGCUUAUUGGCUUGCUCAUCUAGAGAACGUCAAUCAAAAUGCUAGAUUCAUGACACAUUCAGGCCUUUGCCAGUGGUAUUCAAUGACUGAGAGAAACUAAAUUAUUCUAGGUAGUGCCCUAAAUAAAACUUGCUGAGAAAAGUUGACUUGGGACAUUUCCUUGACCAAACUAGGUCACAGAACUUAAAAUGUCUGAUUACUUUAGUAAUGGUUAUUUCCUUAUCGUAAGACACAUUUUUUACGAUACACUUGAGCAACAUAUCUGAAGAAUGUACCUUUCAGUCAUGAAUAACAAGAAUAAUGCAAUAAAAUAAUUAAGCAAAAAUA